UCCAUUAAGAUUUAUAUUAAAUGUUUUAUUAAGCGCUAGUUUUUACUCAUUUAAAAAUUCUUAAUUUUUUUUUAGUGUAAGAGACGUUUUCUAUAACUCUAAUCUCUGGAGAAAAUGUGAGUAGCUUGCAGGUACAAAACUCCACAAUUACAUUUUGUGUGGUGUGUGAUUUUGUUUCAUACUUGUGAAAAUGUCAUGGUUAUAAAGGACAAAGGACAAAAAGUUGAACAAUAAUUUCCUGGCUCUCAGUUCAUCAGAGAUUGAUUAAAAACAGCCUCUUUUGGAUCUGAAUAUUGCAGUAAAUGAAAUAUGCUUUCAUGAGCCUGGGGGAAAAAAUAAAAUAAAAAAAUAAUUAGUUUGGGGGCAAGGCCAGCAGGAUCAUGCCCUUCAUGUUUUCAUGCAUUUAAGGGACAAGCUAAACACAUGCACUGAACAUCAGGUUCCUCCUCAUGCUCCCGCCUCUAGAUGCCACACUGUUCAGCCACAACGCCUAUAGGGAAGAUACGCUCUCCUACACACUCACAGCGAUCAGCCCAGCAUGUGCCCUCAUGAAUGCCAAUCAUACAAUAACAUCCCAUGAGGUUAGAUGGUCAAUAUUAGAAGCCACAGAUGGUGUUUAGGAGGACAAUGGUUUUAAAAAAAAAAAAAAAAAAAGUACAAAAAAAAGCAGGAGUCUUGUGAGCUAAUUCAUAGCGUUAACUAUAUUUUAAAAAAUAAAUUUAAAUUCAGAGGGAAAAAGAUAUGGUAUAGUAGUCCACAAGUAAAUUAAUCAAUGAAUUAUAGGAGAAAAAAAGUUAAAAAGAAGGAUGCAGAAAAAAGAAACAAAUGAAUAUGAAAUAGGUCAAAAAAGUUACUAGAAAGCAAUACACAUAAAAGAAAUAUUAAAAAUGACAGUAUAACUAAAAAAAAUACCUCAAAAUAUAACUAAUUUUUUUUUUAAAACUUUUACAUUUUCAAUAAACAUAAAAAAUAUUAAAAAUGAGAACAUGACUGAAAAGAAAAACCAAGUUAAGUUAGUUAAAUCAUUAAAAAAAAAUAAUAAUAAACAUAAAAAAAUAUUAAAAAUGAGAGUAUAACUAAAAAGAAAAAACAAGUUGAGUUCAAUAAUUAAAAAAAUAAUAAUAAUAAUAAUAAUAAACAUAAAAAAAUAUUAAAAAUGAGAGUAUAACUAAAAAGAAAAACAAAGUUAAGUUAGUUAAAUAAUUUAAAAAAAAAUAAUAAACAUAAAAAAAUAUUAAAAAUGAGUAUAACUUUAAAGAUUAAAAACAAGUUAAGUUAGUUAUAUAUUUUAACAUUUUAAAGUACAAAUCUGGAGAAAAUGAAUCAAUGAAUAAAGUGAAAUAAAAACUUCAUUAAUAUUGUACAAAAACAAGAAAAGUCCAAGAAAAGUGACAAAUAUUUUUUAUACUUAAUUAUCAUUAUAAUUUUGUUACUUGCCCAUCCCUAACCUUGAUGAGAGAGUUUGUGUACACGUAGAAGUCUACGCAAAAGAUGACGUAUCGAAAACGUACUAUUGAGGGAGGGUUAUCGUCCACAAAACUCGGAGAGCUAAACCAGCUCUGCCAUCUGACAGGAUACUUUGGCACGGUGACUCUCGACUCACCUGGGCACCAAGGUCAAGAGGACAACGCUUUGGAAAUGAUGGGAAUUCAACUUGACCAUGGAAAAAGCAUUAAAAUCUCAUCUUUCUUCAGCAUUGAUGAACAUUUGGGACAAACUUGACAAUUCUAGCCAUGGGGAGAAGUCAAGACAAGAUCGACAGUUUUGACCUCUGAAUGCUGUACUGUAUAUAAGAAUAUAUUGUACAUUUACAUUGUUUUGUCUGCACAAAUGUUUUCAGUUGUAAUGUUGAGUUGUUGCUUUUUUGGGUUACACUUUAUUUCGAUGGUCCACUUUAUUUAUUUAUAUUUUUAUUUUUUAUUUUGCAUGCCCACCUGAUUGUCUGUUGACAAACAGACAAACAUUGUCAGAUGGGUGUAGCUCUUAUCUUCAGUGUGUAACAGAUUUUGAUAAUGUCAGGUAAUCUCCAUCCUCAAUUGUCAGUACACUAACACAGCACUAAUGAAGUAGUGUGUUACUCUAAUUUGCAUUUAAUUGAGGGUUAAUGCCACUGUUCCUUUGAACAGAAGUCUUCUCUGCAGGCAAAUUCUCAAAUGCAAAGGUCCUGGUUGGAGUGAUUGUAUUUAGAUUGCACAAUACAUCAACCUGUAUGUCUUUUGUGCCACACCUGUGACAGUUUCGACCAGUGUGGAUUGUAAAGACUUGGUCACAGCAGUGAUGACAUUAUUAAACUGUAAAAUAAAAACUGAAAUUCUCAAUUCAA